AAGCGGUGGAGCAUGUGAGUUAAUUCGAUGCAACGCGAUGAACCUUACCUACUCUUGAGAUCCUAAGAAGCCGCCAGAGAUGGUGGUGUGCCUACGGGAGCUUAGAGACAGGUGCUGCAUGGCUGUCGUCAGCUCGUGUUGUGAAAUGUUGGGUUAAGUCCCGCAACGAGCGCAACCCUUAUCCUUUGUUGCCAGCAUGUUAGGGUGGGAACUCAAAGGAGACUGCCGGUGAUAAACUGGAGGAAGGUGGGGAUGACGACAAGUCAUCAUGGCCCUUACGAGUAGGGCUACACACGUGCUACAAUGGCGUAUACAGAGGGAGGCGAGCCUGCGAGGGUAAGCGUAGCUCAGAAAGUACGUCUAAGUCCAGAUUGGAGUCUGGAACUCGACUCCAUGAAGUCGGAAUCGCUAGUAAUCGCGGAUCAGAAUGUCGCGGUGAAUACGUUCCCGGGCCUUGUACACACCGCCCGUCACACCAUGGGAGUGGGUUGUACCAGAAGUAGAUAGCUUAACGAAAGGGGGCGUUUACCACGGUAUGGUUCAUGACUGGGGUGAAGUCGUAACAAGGUAACCGUAGGGGAACCUGCGGUUGGAUCACCUCCUUAUAAGAGAUUUAAUCACGAGUGUUCACACAGAUUGGGAUUA
rnacentral:rRNA from 1 species